GGGUAAUACGAGGUGAUGACUGAAUCUUCGGACGAGGAGGAAAGAGAAUAGGGGUCCACUCCACUGCACCCUAUAUGCUGGCAGUUUCAUCAGACGGACUGUCGGCAGGAAUCCUCUCCAACUAGACUCUUUACGGAAAUCUGUGGUCCACCUGUGUUCUACAGUACCUGUGGUGGUCUGGCUCCCUAACACGUCUUCUUCAUGCUCUCUGAACGUGAGAUGCGGGGUUCGACCCGGUCGGACAGCAGCCAUUUUGAAACAGCCAGCCAUUUUGGAACUCCUUGCGUUCGAGGUGCGGGACACUCCUCUUUUUCGACGAGGGACAUGGUAAGAGGAAAUCAGAUGUGGGGCGUCUCGAUCUGAAUCGACAGACUUCCUAGUUGUCACCUCUAGCAGUGCGAUUGUCCAGUUGUCUUUGACGCUACUGUGCAGGUGCUCGAGAUGGGCAGUCACCAAGUUAAAGCGAUUAGAAGGAAUAUCUACCAAAGGAAUGAAUGCACGCUUAAGCUCCACAUUUAAUGUAAAGUACUGAAGCAAAAACAUGUAGACUUCUCAUUAUUCACAUUAACUGUGUGCGCACGCAUACUCAUAGUGUAGCAGGUAGCACAUGAUGGACAGCCAGUGACCAUUUCAGGCUGGCUAGAACCUCCUCUUCCAUCAUGGGUAAAAACGAUGAAUACGUCAUCUACAUAAAGUACAUAUUCCUAAGGAGACUUAUGCCCGAUAAGCUCUUAUGUUUCUAAUGCGUUACAUCUAGUUUAUAACGUGUAAGAUAAGUGAAUCGAUGCAAUCGAAUUAGUGAACAUUGAGGUGUAAAUAUCACUGUGCACUGCAACAUGUGAUAGCAAAAUGCUAAAAGAUCACAUGAAUGAUUCUAAUGCCAAUCAAUCUUCCGAUUGUUCUACUGAAAGAAAUGUGAGUAGAACUACAACUUCCAGCAUGCCUCUUUGUCCCUGAGACCCUUAACCUGUGAUGUCAUGUAAGGUCACAGGUGAGGUCCUUGGGAACAAGGCCACAUGCAUUUUGACAGCAACCUUCAGAGAUGAAGGACAAAUAAAAGUCUCUGUCUAAUACCCAUGUGGCUGUAGAUGAGCACCCUAGUUAGAGUAGGACUGGACCCCACAAGUCUCCCACAGAAAGGGUCAGCAUUGGGGACAGGCCCUGUCGUCCGGCUUCAGGCCGUGACCAAAGAGAGGACGGUCUAAGGUCGCGACCCCUUCUUCUCUCAGCUGUGACAAGUCAGAUGAAUGUUAGUAAGGCAGUGCACCAAGUGCAGGGCGAGUUCUGAAAUCUGCAGGAAGAUUUGUUUUGGAGUGCGUAUGUUGUGUUUUAUAUGUAUGUUUCCCUCAAUUCAUCACAGUGAACUUUAGUGGAUUUAUAUGUGUGAAACCAAAAAUAAAAUGCUUUUCUAUUCUUUAAA